rnacentral:rRNA from 1 species
UACGGAGGGUGCGAGCGUUGUCCGGAAUCAUUGGGCGUAAAGGGCGCGUAGGCGGCCAGCACAAGUCAGUUGUGAAAUCUCCGAGCUUAACUCGGAAAGGUCAACUGAUACUGUGCGGCUAGAGUGCAGAAGGGGCUACUGGAAUUCUCGGUGUAGCGGUGAAAUGCGUAGAUAUCGAGAGGAACACCUGCGGCGAAGGCGGGUAGCUGGGCCGACACUGACGCUGAGGCGCGAAAGCCAGGGGAGCGAACGGG